GAUGGCGUGGCGAAAAGGAUAACGCGCUGGUCUCCGGAACCAGAGAUUGCGGGUUCGAGUCCCGUCGUCAUCG